AACGAACGCUGGCGGCAGGCCUAACACAUGCAAGUCGAGCGAAGUCUUCGGACUUAGUGGCGGACGGGUGAGUAACGCGUGGGAACGUGCCCUUUGCUUCGGAAUAGCCUCGGGAAACUGGGAGUAAUACCGUAUGUGCCCUACGGGGGAAAGAUUUAUCGGCAAGAGAUCGGCCCGCGUUGGAUUAGGUAGUUGGUGGGGUAAUGGCCUACCAAGCCGACGAUCCAUAGCUGGUUUGAGAGGAUGAUCAGCCACACUGGGACUGAGACACGGCCCAGACUCCUACGGGAGGCAGCAGUGGGGAAUCUUAGACAAUGGGCGCAAGCCUGAUCUAGCCAUGCCGCGUGAGCGAUGAAGGCCUUAGGGUUGUAAAGCUCUUUCAGUGGGGAAGAUAAUGACUGUACCCACAGAAGAAGCCCCGGCUAACUCCGUGCCAGCAGCCGCGGUAAAGUACAGUGU
rnacentral:rRNA from 1 species